UACAGAGGUCUCAAGCGUUGUUCGGAUUCAUUGGGCGUAAAGGGUGCGUAGGCGGCGCGGUAAGUCGGGUGUGAAACCUCGGAGCUUAACUCCGAAACUGCAUUCGAUACUGCCGUGCUUGAGGACUGGAGAGGAGACUGGAAUUUACGGUGUAGCGGUGAAAUGCGUAGAUAUCGUAAGGAAGGCCAGUGGCGAAGGCGGGUCUCUGGACAGUUCCUGACGCUGAGGCACGAAGGCCAGGGGAGCAAACGGG
rnacentral:rRNA from 1 species